ACGCUCGACACCUACUGGAGGCAGCAGUCGGGAAUAUUGCGCAAUGGAGGAAACUCUGACGCAGUGACGCCGCGUAUAGGAAGAAGGUUUUCGGAUUGUAAACUAUUGUCGUUAGGGAAGAUACAAGACAGUACCUAAGGAGGAAGCACCGGCUAACUAUGUGCCUGCAGCCGCGGUAAUCUGAGCGGCUGGCAAGGC
rnacentral:rRNA from 1 species